UUUCUAUCUGUUACUAAGACUGUUGUUUAAUUAUUUCAAGAGAUUAGUUUUGGUUUUUGAAUUUAGCUUUCCCAAGUGUAUCAGAUAUUGGAAUAAUAUUCACCAAUUAUAUUGGAUAAAAGUGAUGAAAGACGAUUCUGUACUUAUUUUUCUCGUAUGUUUCAUGUUGAUGCUUUUGUCUACUAAAUGUUGAACCCUUGACGAGUUACUAUUUCUAGUUUAUUUUAGUCUUGCUUGUUGCAUAAAGAAAGUCGAUGGAUAUUUUACUCUAUGCUUGCUGCUGUCGUCGUGUAAAUAUAUAAUAGGUGUACAGAUAAUAAGCAAGUAGAAACACACACAAAGAGUACAAAACAUUCUUAGCAGCACUCCGGAAUUUAAAUACAAUAAUGUAAGAAUAUGAUACUACAUAUAAACUUAAAACUUAAUUAUAUGUUUUACAUAUAUCUUGGCANUAUAAAAUGAACAGGAUAAAAAUUGUGAUUUACUUGGAGGCGGCAGUUUCGGGUUGCGGGUUUGAGAUGUGCAAUGUGCUCUUUAGUUAAUUCUGUUAAAAUGAAUGUAUUGUAUAUAAAGAAGACAAAAUUGAUAAGAGUCAUCAAAUUUAGCUGAUUGAUCUGUGUAGUACCAAAUCUGAAAACAGUAUACAUAUACUAAUUUUUUUUUUAAUUUGUCUCCCUUCUUAUCUCUUCUUAUCUCUUCUCUGUUUUCUUCAUAUCUAUCCCCUCCUUUCUUUACCUCUUCAUCAAUAAUAGCUGAAAGAUGUGUGUGUGGUAAUUGGUUGGUAGCAAAAACGGCUUGGACUGAAUCCCAAGAACCAAUACGGAUGAACCAGCAUUGUCGCUCGAUUUCACAUCUCCUACAUCAUUUACGCUUGAACCACUCCUUAAUCGUCCUCUCAUUGUUGAUCGUUGUUGAUUUUAGGUUUACGGGGUACUGGUGUAGUGGUGUGAGUAACGGGGUUUGUAGUGUGUGGGUGUGAGGAAGACAAAACUUAAAGGGGAUGGGGGAAUUGGAGGGAAUUAGGGAUUUUACGUUUGUUUAUUCAAUUAAAUUAAUUAAACAUAAAAUAAAGGGUGAAUGGUCAAGACUACCCUUAAAUUUUAACGUUAACGGGGCAAGUUGAGUCAACUUUAACAGAAACGGGUGGGAAGGGUUCGAAUUGACGCGCUUUUCAAACCAGCGGGGUGCAUACUGCAAUUAUUCAAAGUAUACGCCUUAAAUGACUUUUCGGAAUACCAGCGGGGUGCAAAACGCAAUAAACUCUUUUGAAUAUAGAAAAAUGGAAUUUAGCAGAAAACAAAUUAUAAUAAUUAGGGCAUUUUGUUGGUGGUUGCUCAUUUAAGGGGUGGCGUUAUGGUGCAGGUAUCACUUGUUCAGGGAUGAUGAUAUCUUGGGAACUCUCCAUGAUUGAUUGAUGAUCAGUUUGGAUUUUCUAAGUGAGGACUGUGUUAAUGUUAAUCUUCUGAGGUUUCUAUCUGUUACUAAGACUGUUGUUUAAUUAUUUCAAGAGAUUAGUUUUGGUUUUUGAAUUUAGCUUUCCCAAGUGUAUCAGAUAUUGGAAUAAUAUUCACCAAUUAUAUUGGAUAAAAGUGAUGAAAGACGAUUCUGUACUUAUUUUUCUCGUAUGUUUCAUGUUGAUGCUUUUGUCUACUAAAUGUUGAACCCUUGACGAGUUACUAUUUCU
rnacentral:lncRNA from 1 species